GGAGGAGCUCCGCCCAGAAAGCUUUUCAGCUCCUCGGAGAACACUAGAUAGAAAAUGUGAGCAGAACCAUAGAUGCUACAGUGCAAUUGGCGGCCCGCAGGCCAGAUGCGUCACGUCCAGGCCACGCCCACCCUGGCUCUGGAAAGUGGUCCUCUCUGUCCAGAAUGUAAACUUUGAUGUCCUCAAAGGGAGAGAGAUACAACGCCACCGAUCUCCUGUUUACAAUGCAAUUCUUUCAGCAAUCCCAAGAAGGUUCCACACCCAAUUGCACUCUGAUUCAGGUGACUCUGAGGAUACGGAUAAAGCCCCAAAUGGCCUCAAUGACUUUUCAGAGAGCUAAAAACUGACCUUCAAAGUGCUAAUGACUGCAAAGAAUAUAAAUAAUUCCAUUCCCCACUAGUCAGUUAGAACUGAAGAAGUUUCUUGGACGAGAAGCAAAAUGUUUUUAAAGGAAAAAAAAACCCCAAGAAAAUCCAGUUGCCUUGGAAAAAGCACCUUUGAGACUACCUGUGUGUACCAUCAAGACAGCAUUUUCAGCAGUGAAUAUAACCAUAGUGCAAUGGUUUGUGAGAAUGUUCUUGAAAGAAGGGAGGAGUCACAAACUAGGCAAC